rnacentral:lncRNA from 1 species
AUUUUCUCAAAAAUCCAACGGAAUUCCACUAUUAGUAGAUCUAAGAUUGGCCAAAGUACCAAAAUCCUUUCUCUUCGUCUGUUGCUUAAAUCCCAGGCCUGUUUGGUGUUGAAAUCGAUCCCAAUCAGUAGCCAUUGGCUUGAAUCUUCAAUUGGAGGGGUGGUUCCAGUCCUUUCACGACUGCUAGAAGAUGGCCAAAUCGCCCCGAACCGGCCCAAAGCACCUCGAGUCAUCUGAUAUCUAUUCCUUCGACUGGCAAGAUGUAUUUUAACAUGAAGCAUUGGCCCCUGAAGAGAUUCCGGCUAGUGCUCGUGUAACAAUCCCUCCGUCUCGCCGGAAUUCAUUUGGCCGCAUUAUUUUGAACCCCGGAUAGGUGUGUAUCUCCUUAUUUUGCUGUCGAUUUGUUUUCAUGCUUAUUUUUCUAUGUUGGUUUUCAGAUAGGUUUAGUCAUCUCAGUUUCAUUUCAUAACUAAUCGGUCUAGGAUUUCAUAUUGGAACCAUUUGUUCUAGUAGUUAAUAUUGCUAUAGGUUGAUUGAUUACUGUGAAUUGUUUGUUUUCUAGUUGCUCAUAUAAUAGUCAUUUGUGAUUUCAAGUUAAAUCUCCGUGUUAUUGUUCCAUUUGCAUUGACUAUGAGACAUUCAUUGAUUUAAGACUUGCUAACUGAAACUAUUCGGUUUAAACUCAAUUGAGCUGUGAGUUACAGGGGUAAAAGAGGAGUUUAAAAGAGUUUGAAGGACUGGUUAGAGUAAAAAUUGAACUUCUGGGGGCAUUUGGGAGAUAAAACUUAGAGGAAUCUUUUCUGUUGCUGCUGGGAAAGCUUCUAGAAUAGAGAAGAGGGGUCACUUUGCAAUAGGAAAAUACAGGAUUUAGGGUGAAGCAGGUAAAUACAGAAAGCAAAAGGAUUAAGAAGAAAGGAAAGAAUAAUUGGAAAGGGACAACUAUCCAAAUCAGUUAAAAAGAUGCAUUUUUCCUAUUUUUUAGGGCUGGCACAUUCCUAGAUUAUUCCCUAUCUUUUUGUGCAUAUAACACACCCUCACAUUCUAUAUAAGGACACACAUUCCCUUACUAUAACAUACAUUGAUCCUCUGCAGAAUUCUCAUACAUAUUCCCUCACCUUCACUGAUUUUCACUAGUCACACAC